UACAGAGACUGCAAGCGUUAUUCGGAUUCACUGGGCGUAAAGGGUGCGCAGGCGGCCAAGUGUGUCAGGUGUGAAAUCCCGAGGCUCAACCUCGGAACUGCGCCUGAAACUACUUGGCUAGAGUACUGGAGAGGGUAACGGAAUUCACGGUGUAGCAGUGAAAUGCGUAGAGAUCGGAAGGAACAUCAGUGGCGAAGGCGGCUACCUGGACAGACACUGACACUGAGGCGCGAGAGCGUGGGGAGCGAACAGG
rnacentral:rRNA from 1 species